rnacentral:rRNA from 1 species
AUGCUUAACACAUGCAAGUCGAACGGCAGCACAGCAGUAGCAAUACUGUGGGUGGCGAGUGGCGGACGGGUGAGUAAUGCAUCGGGAUCUACCCAAACGUGGGGGAUAACGUAGGGAAACUUACGCUAAUACCGCAUACGUCCUAUGGGAGAAAGCGGGGGAUCGCAAGACCUCGCGCGGUUGGACGAACCGAUGUGCGAUUAGCUAGUUGGUAGGGUAACGGCCUACCAAGGCGACGAUCGCUAGCUGGUCUGAGAGGAUGAUCAGCCACACUGGGACUGAGACACGGCCCAG